rnacentral:rRNA from 1 species
UACGUAGGGUGCAAGCGUUAAUCGGAAUUACUGGGCGUAAAGCGUGCGCAGGCGGUUUUGUAAGACUGUCGUGAAAUCCCCGGGCUUAACCUGGGAAUGGCGAUGGUGACUGCAAGGCUAGAGUUUGGCAGAGGGGGGUAGAAUUCCACGUGUAGCAGUGAAAUGCGUAGAUAUGUGGAGGAACACCGAUGGCGAAGGCAGCCCCCUGGGUCAAAACUGACGCUCAUGCACGAAAGCGUAGGGAGCAAACAGG